rnacentral:tRNA from 1 species
GCUAACGUAGCAUAACCUGGUUUUGCUAAAGAUCUAAGCCCUUUUCACAGAAGUUCAAAUCUUCUCGUUAGCU